rnacentral:tRNA from 1 species
AACCACGUAGCUCAGUUGGCAGAGCAUUGGGCUAGCAUUCCAAAGGUCGUAGGUUCGAUUCCCACUGUGGUCA